rnacentral:tRNA from 1 species
GCCCACGUAGCUCAAAGGUAGAGCUGCUGAUUUGUAAUCAGCGGGUUGGCGGUUCAAAUCCGUCCGUGGGCUCCA